ensembl:lncRNA
CUAGUGUCUGUGUUACGGGAUUCUGUGCAGUGGUUCUAUUCUGUGCAGUGUGGUUCUAUUCUGUAUAAUUGGUUUCUAUGCAGUGUGGUUCUAUUGUCUGUGCGACGGGAAUCUGUGCAGUUCUAUUCUGUGCAGUGUGGUUCUAUUCUGUAUAAUUGGUUUCUAUGCAGUGUGGUUCUAUUGUCUGUGUGACGGGAUUCUGUGCAGUUCUAUUCUGUGCAGUGUGGUUCUAUUCUGUAUAAUUGGUUUCUAUGCAGUGUGGUUCUAUUGUCUGUGCAGUGGGAUUCUGUGCAGUUGGAUUCUGUGCAGUGUGGUUCUAUUCUGUCUAAUUGGUUUCUAUGCAGUGUGGUUCUAUUGUCUGUAAUUGGUUUCUAUGCAGUGUGGUUCUAUUGUCUGUGCGACGGGAUUCUGUGCAGUUCUAUUCUGUGCAGUGUGGUUCUAUUGUCUGUGUAAUGGCGUUAUGUGCAGUGUGAUGGGGUUCUGUGCAGUGUGGUUGUAGUCUGUGGUUCCUUUUUGUCCAGUGCUCCAUUUGCCAAUCCAAUGGAUAAUCUCCUUGAGUCAUGCACACAAAUUUCCUUGACGAAUUUCUGCAUUGAUAUAUUUUGAAUUUGUAUUUACCAAGGCCAUCUGAGGAGAUUGGACGAUUUUUACAAACACCGCCAGAGGAUUCCCGAACAACCAUCUCGCUAGAUUCAAGUCAGGCUGGCCUUCCUAAUGUGUUCUGAUGACUACAAUGGACGGUCCUGAAGGACUGGAGCUGUGGGUGGAAGAGAGCCUGGAGGGCUCCAGAUGUGGAGGACCAGGAGGCGUCCAGAUGUUGAAGACAGGAAGAUCUGGUCUACAGAUGUGGAGGAUAACAUCCUUUUAAUUUCAUCCUUUUAAUUUCUUUCUUGGUCAAAUUGAGUUACUCAUGACUGCACUCUGUACUGAGGACUUGGUGUUAGAUCUUCUGUCUCUGUACUGGUGACUUGGUGUUUGAUAUUCUUGCACUGGUUGUGGCUUCAGGAGGGCUCUGUACUGGUGACUUGGUCUUUGAUCCUGACUGGUGUUUUAACUUUCAGACGUGACCGAUGAGGUGGGCGUUCAUCUGGUGACUGCUCCCAGGAAGAGGGCUAGCUCCUCCUACAGCAAGGGGGCGGUGGCUGGACCCGGACCAGGGGCGGUGGCUGGACCCGGACCAGGGGCGGUGGCUGGACCCGGACCAGGGGCGGUGGCUGGGGGGCGGGCGGUGGCUGGACCCGGACCUGGACCUGGAGCAGCACAGCAGCUUGUGGACAUGGACCCUGGGCUCAAAGUUUCUUCAUCUUUAAGAGGACGGACGACCUGGUGGCCCACAGCAGACAGGAGUAGAGGGACACCGCUGGCAACUAACCCUAGACCUAGACCACCUAAACUAGACUUAAACCAUCUAACCCCUCAACCUAAACUAGACUUAAACCAUCUAACCCCUCAACCUAAACUAGACUUAAACCAUCUAACCCC